UGUAGAGUUUGAUCCUGGCUCAGAUUGAACGCUGGCGGCAGGCUUAACACAUGCAAGUCGAACGAGAAGCUACCUUCGGGUAGUGGAAAGUGGCAGACGGGUGAGUAACGCGUGGGAAUAUGCCCUUCUCUACGGAAUAGCCUCGGGAAACUGAGAGUAAUA
rnacentral:rRNA from 1 species